UACGGAGGGAGCUAGCGUUAUUCGGAAUUACUGGGCGUAAAGCGCACGUAGGCGGCUUUGUAAGUUAGAGGUGAAAGCCUGGAGCUCAACUCCAGAAUUGCCUUUAAGACUGCAUCGCUUGAAUCCAGGAGAGGUGAGUGGAAUUCCGAGUGUAGAGGUGAAAUUCGUAGAUAUUCGGAAGAACACCAGUGGCGAAGGCGGCUC
rnacentral:rRNA from 1 species